rnacentral:rRNA from 1 species
UACAGAGGUCCCAAGCGUUGUUCGGAUUCACUGGGCGUAAAGGGUGCGUAGGCGGUCGGGUAAGUCUGGCGUGAAAUCUCCAAGCCUAACUUGGAAACUGCGUUGGAUACUAUCCGGCUCGAGGAAUGGAGGGGAGACUGGAAUACUUGGUGUAGCAGUGAAAUGCGUAGAUAUCAAGAGGAACACCUGAGGUGAAGACGGGUUGCUGGGCCGACACUGACGCUGAGUGCGCGAAAGCCAGGGGAGCAAACGGG